ensembl:lncRNA
AUGAUGAAAGUGCUUGACUAACUCUUUUAUUUGUAUACCUAACAUAUAAAAUAACUGAACAUUUUUGCAUUUGGGGUUAGAAAGCCAUUGCUGGACUACAUACUUAUUUUGAUUAAACAAUUCUGCUGAACUGCCACUUCAUACAGAACUGAGAAGCAAAAAUCAGAACUCUGAAUUUUAAGAUUCUAUUUUUGUGUCCUGCUUUGAAAUAUUUUCCUCCAUUUGUUGUAUCAGGACCAAAGGAUUUUACAUGGUGGACACUAAAAAAUAAAAAUGGAACCAAGAGACACCAAACUCAAGCUGCUUCUAGUGUCAUCUGCCAAGUCUCUGUGACUGAGAACUUGCCUAACAUCUCCUAAGCACUUUCCCUCAGUAAGUUUGUGAAAGGAAGCCAGCAGGAUCAGGAAGCCACCGGAAAGAAGAAAGCCAUUACUUUAUCUCCCGGAGGACAGCAAAGGACCAGUGUUACCCUGAAACAGGCUAGAAAUGGAAGAACAAAAUAAGUAUCUACAAAAUCCUACCCUGAAAUUCAGAUAAUGGACUCAUAGAAGGGCUUGGGUUGGAAGAGAGCAGGUUUCCCAGAGCUCCAUCCAACUUGGCAGGUCUCCUCCAGACACCUGAGCAGACCUGGCAUACGGACACCUAUGAGCAGAAGAGCACAGCUCCACUCACGGAGCCCUCACCAGCACCCUUCUCAGACACAGACACUCAAGGGAAGCACAGAAGGGCAUGAGUACAUUCUAUCACAUGAUUGGUCCCAUAAAUUGGUGGUAUUUAAAGUUAACCAUAUUUUGAAGUGUUUUGCUGGAUCAAACAUUAAGCCAAGGAUUUCUCAGUUCAAACAUCUAAGCUAAUAUCCUCUACCUCAGUGUCUUAGGAAAUGAGAAACUAUUUCUCUGCAAGAAAAUGAUAAACCACGCAAAGUCAAAUUAAAGUGCAGACAAGAGAUUGCAAAAAUGUAAUCCACAGAAGAAUGUGAAUUUUAAAAAGUGAAGUUAAGACAAAUUUUGAACUGAUCCAUGAAGAGAGACACCACUCAUUUUUUUUCUAAAGCAUUAAAUGCAAAAUUCACUGCUAUUUUCUAGAACGAU